CAGAUGACUUCUAUGGGAUCAGGAGCAAUGGAGACCAUUCCAAGGACAGGACAGCUUAGAAAAUAAACAGCUAUCAAGCCCUUGCUGCUCUGCCCUACAAUGUUUAGUUUCUAUUGCAUUUGUUAACUGCUCCGUAGCAGAACCAGGAGCAGGACCACUCUCUCUUCUAACUCAGACAUGUAUUGUUAUUAUCCUUCAUAUCAGGAAACAGCCUUCUGAUGAGGUUUUCGGUAAUACCUGUUUGAGAGGAACUGGGCUGGUGAGAUCACAGUCACAUGAACUUGCAGGGACCAAAAUACCUUGGAGUCAUCAGGAGGAAAAAUCUGGCAGAUAAAGAUCCUCACCAUCAUUUGAACACUCGAACUGGACUUCCUUUUCUGAAUUGACCAGUCAGAGAGAAAAGGAAAAGAAGAAAAUGUGACUGGUUGGAUUGAAAGUAUCAAUGCAUGGAGUACAGUAUAUUUUUGUUUUCAAAAAGACAGCCUAAGCUGCGGUAGAGAAGGAAAUACUUUUUUUGUGGGGGGAAGUUUCUACAUGAGAAAAAUGCUGAAAACAAAGACUCCCACUCAGGUAAACAUUUCCCCCCUUGCUUCACAUAACUUUGCAGGAAAAUGGUAAAAAACUGAAAUGUCCUGAAAAUCAUAAGUAUCAGAUCCCAACAAGUGUAAUAUUAGCAAACCAUUGAGGAUAAUUCUCAGCAACAUUGCUAUCAAAAUGGAGAUACAGCAGAUGCCAUUAUAAACCUGUAGGAAGAAUGGUAUUUAUAAAAAUACUAGCCUAACUGGAGCACAUGAAAUUCCUGCAUUCCACAAAGACGUGUUAAGGAAUCUGUAUUGCAAUGACCUAAUCAUACAGAAAGAUAUGCUUCUUCAUCCUCUCUAAGAUGCCCAUUAUUUGACUUUGGGUAACAUUCGGGUUAGAGUAUACUGAAUUCAUUUUAAGAGCCUUAACAUUUUUAAGUGUGAGAGAAUGUGUGUGUGUAAGUGCGUAAAGGACAAAUCUGCUGUGAAUGGAGUAUUUAAGUAAGUAGCACUCUGUUAAAGAAAAGGAAGUUUAAGCAGAAAACUAAAAUUCAGGUCAAAGACACACUCCUGAGAAAUGAGGCAGAACUAAGAAGAGAAGGAAAGCUGGGGUGCUUUAUUUAGUCUUCAGGAAUUCUCUGAGAAAAAGAAAUAAAACAUUUUUCAAUGCUCAGAGAUUUGUUUCCUGGCUAUUUUUCAAAGUAUCUGUCUAUAACAUUCAUUUGUGAAGCAUCUCUCCUCCCGAGGACCUGGCAAUAUGAAAAUAGGAACUCUAAAUCAUCUAUGAAAGUUGCCAAAAUGUUCCCAUUCUUAUCAAGGUCUAUUAGUCAGGAUGAGCUUAUUCACUGAGAUCUUAAACCCCCGGACUUCUGCCAAGUACACCUGGUAGAAUGUACCUCAUGUGUGGCCCAAUCUACCAGUAAGCUUCUGACGUUCCAUCAAGCUAACACCCACGACCAAAGUCUCAUUUCUAUUAAGCAGCUAAAAAUACAGUGAGUCACUAAUGACAGGAUUACCCUUUAUUAAAAAGCAAGGAAAAUAUUCCCUUAUCAGCAUUUUUCCUAACCUUAUUUAAAACAUGGUACAGUUUUUCAGCUACUUCUUUUCUGACACAUUAUUUUGAGGUUAAACUAACUUCACCUUCUUCAAAUAUACAGUGAGAACCAUUUCUUAACACAACUAUGAAGACGAGAUGUAGUUAUUUCCAAUCGCAAAGUCAAUAGAAGUUGGAAUGGUACAAGGAAAAGAAGGCUGAAUGAGAUGUAUAGUUUGGUGCAUUUGUUUAACUUACCUUGACUCCAUCAGGUUUUUUCAGUAAACUUUUUGCUGCUGUAAAAUGACAGAAUAAAUUCAAUGUCAGCAGGUUAUCAAUAAAGUCCAUCAGGUCUGAAGCAAAGCAAGCACUUUCUGUUUUUAGUUCCUCCCUCUGCUGCUUUACAUUUAGGAAACGGAAUAUUUACAAAUUCCAAACUACUGGACAUAAGACUGCAGUACCACUUUUCUUAGAUUUGCUACCUUGAUUUUGUCAAGAUCUACACCGAGCUGCAUUAGGCACUAAACACUGCCAUAUCCAAUAGAACCUCAUUAUUUCACAUUGA